rnacentral:rRNA from 1 species
GAUGAACGCUGGCGGCAGGCCUAACACAUGCAAGUCGAGGGGCAGCACAGAAACAGCAAUGUUUUGGUGGCGACCGGCGGACGAGUGCGUAACGCGUAUGCAACCUACCUUUAACAGGGGGAUAACGGAGAGAAAUUUCCACUAAUACCCCAUAACAUCGAUCAAGGCAUCUUGAUUGGUUGAAAACUCCGGUGGUUAAAGAUGGGCAUGCGUUGUAUUAGGUAGUUGGUGAGGUAAUGGCUCACCAAGCCUACGAUACAUAGGGGGACUGAGAGGUUAGCCCCCCACACUGGUACUGAGACACGGACCAGACUCCUACGGGAGGCAGCAGUGAGGAAUAUUGGUCAAUGGGGGCAACCCUGAACCAGCCAUGCCGCGUGCAGGAAGACGGCUCUAUGAGUUGUAAACUGCCUUUAAACAGGGAUAAAGCACAGUAUGUAUACUGUGUUGAAGGUACUGUAAGAAUAAGGAUCGGCUAACUCCGUGCCAGCCGCCGCGGUAA